CGUCAACUCCGGGCGAGCAGCCGCGGUAAGACGGAGGGUGAAAUCGUUAUCCGGAUUUAUUGGGUUUAAAGGGUCCGUAGGCGGACCGGUAAGUCAGUGGUGAAAGCCUACAGCUUAACUGGAGAACUGCCGUUGAUACUGUCGGUCUUGAGUGUGGUUGAGGUAGCUGGAAUGAGUAGUGUAGCGGUGAAAUGCAUAGAUAUUACUCAGAACACCAAUUGCGAAGGCAGGUUACCAAGUCACAACUGACGCUGAUGGACGAAAGCGUGGGGAGCGAACAGGAUUAGAUUCCCUUGUAGUC
rnacentral:rRNA from 1 species